ACUUGUCUAUCUAUGUCAAAUCCAACGCUCAGUCCAAAAAUCCAAAUACCCGACCCAGCCCUGCCUCUUCUUCUUCCUGCGAAACCAGAAACUCCAUCUAGUCCAAAACGAGACGCAAGUCGAAAUCCUAGCAGAAAUCGCGCUAAAAAGCUGAAAAUCCAAUCAAAUCGCCCAAAUCCAGGUACACCAACCUGUCCCAAUAUCGUCUUGUUUACGCGAUACUGUCCAGAAAACUAGGAAAAGCGACUCCAGCAAACAUCUGCAUCAGUAGCUGCACGAAACGGCGUGAACAGUACUAGCAAUACGCCGACACGUCCCCUUUUCCCCCUUUUUCGCGGAGUUUCAGAGCAGAGAACAACUCUCCCAUGCCUCUUAGCUAUUGCCUAAAAAAAAAAAACCAUUUCGAAAUUUGAAUUCAUUCUUAAUCCACCAGAUUCCCCCCUAACCGAUCUUAGUUCUUUUCCUAUAAAUACCAGUCGUAUAUUACUUCAAGGGGGGAUCAAGUUUUAGGCGGAGAGAGAAAAAAAAACUAGAUUUUGAUGUCAUAUACGAAAAAAAAAUACACAAGACGGUUGUGGAGAUUGGAUUUUAUAGGGUAAUAGUAUUCUAGAGUUUUGGAUUUGCUGUUUUGGAACCCCGAUUAUUGCCAAAAAUCCUUUUGUGGUGGUGGAUAGCUCGUCCAAGUUCGUUCAUCCAGGAUCGCUGCCCGAAAAAAAGGAAUGUCUUCCAUAGCUAUCUUGGUAACAUUCUGAAAAAUGGGAUGAUGCAAACUCUUAUGUUGACUAUGUUAUUGAGGAGUUGGUUUUAGAGAAAAUGCCUCUUUUUUGAGUUAUAUAAUAUAAAUGCAACUCAACUAUCUGUGGAUGUGACUGCGAAGGUACUAAAAAUUGAAUAUAAGGUUUAUCAGAGCAGUACUAGGAUGGUGGUACACAAUGAGAUGGCGGUGCGAGUAUAUGUUAUGCUAAAAAAGUCUAUAAAUGAAUUUAGUAAAUACCCCCCUUGUAUAACUAUCUCUAAUAGGUGUUAUAUGAUGUUUUGGGAUCACUUUGUAUGACUGAUUUUGAGAAAUUUGAGAAACAGAAAAUGACAGUUGCAGAGAUAGUAAAUCCCCUUGAUACUUUCAAAUGGUGAAUUGCAGUGUGGUGAUUACUGAUACAUCAUAUAAGUAUGUAAAGGUAGAUCAAGUGUACAAUAAUAAAGCUACAUUGAAGUGUGUUACGUAGCAAUAUGCAAUUGCGGAACGAUUUCAGUUCAAGACAAAAAGAUCAAAUUCAAUCAGGCAAUUGUUUGAUGACUGGCUUGGUUACAACAACAUCAGGUUGCUUUCUGUACCUCACACGUCGAGUCUUCACUGAUGGAGAGACUGGGGCAUUACGUGUUUGUGGCCUUUGUAUAUCGUGAUCUUGAACAAGUUUGUGUGGGAUCUUCUUUGGUAUAUUCGAACAGAUUGCCUGAGUCGCUUUUUGAUAGUUAAGAUAUCAUAAUCAAAUACAAUCUUUUUCUUUCUAUUGUUAAUUGAUUUUGGUGGUCUUGAAAGUCAUCAUCUGACUCAGGAGAUUGUAUAACAUCAUCUGCAUUGUGUUGGAAGGUUCUUUUGAUGGUGAAGUUGUAUCAGAUUAGACAUACUCUGGCGGCAAUGGAAUGAUUGCAAUUUCUGA